GUAGGGAAUAUUGCACAAUGGAGGAAACUCUGAUGCAGCGACGCCGCGUGAGUGAUGAAGGCCUUCGGGUCGUAAAACUCUGUGAUAAGGGAAGAUAAUGACGGUACCUUAUCAGAAAAGACCGGCUAACUUCGUGCCAGCAGCCGCGGUAAUACGAGGGGUCUAAGCGUUGUUCGGAAUCACUGGGCGUAAAGCGGGUGUAGGUGGCUAUGCAAGUUGGAUGUGAAAUCCCCGGGCUCAACCCGGGAAGUGCAUCCAAAACUACGUAGCUUGAGUGCGGGAGAGAAAGGCAGAAUUCCUGGUGUAGUGGUGAAAUACGUAGAUAUCAGGAGGAACUCCGGUGGCGAAGGCGGCCUUUUGGCCCAGCACUGACACUCAGACCCGAAAGCGUGGGUAGCAAACAGGAUUAGAAACCCCGGUAGUCC
rnacentral:rRNA from 1 species